rnacentral:tRNA from 1 species
UGCGGAGUAGAGAAGUGGUCAUCUCGUCAGCCUCAUGAGCUGAAGAACGUUGGUUCGAGUCCAACCUCACGCAA